rnacentral:misc_RNA from 1 species
UACGGAGGGAGCUAGCGUUGUUCGGAAUUACUGGGCGUAAAGCGCGCGUAGGCGGUCUACCAAGUCAGGGGUGAAAUCCCGGGGCUCAACCCCGGAACUGCCCUUGAAACUAUUAGACUAGAAUCUUGGAGAGGUGAGUGGAAUUCCGAGUGUAGAGGUGAAAUUCGUAGAUAUUCGGAAGAACACCAGUGGCGAAGGCGACUCACUGGACAAGUAUUGACGCUGAGGUGCGAAAGCGUGGGGAGCAAACAGG